UAGGGAAUCUUCCGCAAUGGACGCAAGUCUGACGGAGCAACGCCGCGUGAGUGAAGAAGGAUUUCGGUUCGUAAAACUCUGUUGUUAGAGAAGAACAGCGCAUAGAGUAACUGUUAUGCGUGUGACGGUAUCUAACCAGAAAGCCACGGCUAACUACGUGCCAGCAGCCGCGGUACUACGUAGGUGGCAAGCGUUGUCCGGAUUUAUUGGGCGUAAAGCGAGCGCAGGCGGUCAAUUAAGUCUGAUGUGAAAGCCCCCGGCUCAACCGGGGAGGGUCAUUGGAAACUGGUUGACUUGAGUGCAGAAGAGGAGAGUGGAAUUCCAUGUGGAGCGGUGAAAUGCGUAGAUAUAUGGAGGAACACCAGUGGCGAAGGCGACUCUCUGGGCUGUAACUGACGCUGAGGCUCGAAAGCGUGGGUAGAAAACAGG
rnacentral:rRNA from 1 species